CUUUUCCACAUCAUCAGAAGAAGGAGGGGCAUCUAUUAUGUCAACAGUUACUUUGGGACCGUGCGAAAAUGACGGUAUAUAGGCCUAUAUCAAAAACAGUUACUUUUGCCCUACAGUGUGUAGUAAAAUAUCGCAGUCUUUUAUUGUUUUUCUUUUUAGGAGUGGUUGGUAGGCUAUAUAAUUGUACAGCUUAUGCUCUAUCCACGACAAUCGUCCCGUUAUCUAAUGAUUCCGGGCGCACGAACUGUGGAGCCCUUGGGUGAGGCUUCUAAAGUUUUUAUAGACUGAACUUCUAGAUCAGCGCCAAGUCAUCCACCAUAAAGACGAGAUUCUUUAGGCUGGACCAGAUCCAGACGAGGGGCAUGCCUUUGCCGUGCUAGUGCUGCAGUCUGUGAUGACUCCAUCGGUGGUGUCUGGCUCUUCCGUGGGCAGCAGAUGGCUUGAAGGACCAGUGGCUGGAGGAUCUGCAAGCAAGUGAUGGCAGAUGGAAACACCAUCAAAGCGAGAGAUGGCAUGGCACUGCAGAGGACCCGACACCAAAGCCCUGGUCUAUUGACCAAUCCUUUCUAACACGAUGACCAGCUCAAUCCAUUAUUGAGAUGAGUAGCUCAGCUAUUAAAAGUCAAAACACUAACAAUGAAUCCAGUUCAUAGCAGUGAAAAUGUUUACAUUAGUCGCCAUAAACAGAUUGUUUUUGAUCCGUUCUGGAAGGUACAAUAUUAGUCAUGAUUAUGGAAGUGCCAAAAGGUGAGUGCUAUCAGGACUAUGUAUGACCCUUGGAUUUGCUGCCAGGUUUAUAAUACACUGAUGUGGGAAAUAAAGUACUGUUUUGACCCUGAA